rnacentral:rRNA from 1 species
GACGAACGCUGGCGGCGUGCUUAACACAUGCAAGUCGAACGGAAAGGCCCUGCUUUUGUGGGGUGCUCGAGUGGCGAACGGGUGAGUAACACGUGAGUAACCUGCCCUUGACUUUGGGAUAACUUCAGGAAACUGGGGCUAAUACCGGAUAGGAGCUCCUGCUGCAUGGUGGGGGUUGUAAUGUUUCGGCGGUUGGGGAUGGACUCGCGGCUUAUCAGCUUGUUGGUGGGGUAGUGGAUUACCAAGGCUUUGACGGGUCGCCGGCCUGAGAGGGUGAACGGCAACAUUGGGACUGAGAUACGGCCCAGACUCAUAAGGGAGGCAGCAGUGGGGAAUAUUGCACAAUGGGCGGAAGACUGAUGCAGCGACGCCGCGUGCGGGAUGACGGCCUUCGGGUUGUAAACCGCUUUCCCCAGUGAAGAAGCGUGAGUGACGGUAAAGGGAAAAGAAGCACCGGCUAACUACGUG